GUGUCAGCAGCCGCGGUAAUAAGGAGGGUGCGAGCGUUGUCCGGAAUCAUUGGGCGUAAAGGGCGCGCAGGUGGCCCGGUAAGCGUGCGGUGAAAGCAUGGGGCUCAACCCCGAGUCGGCCGUGCGAACUAGCUUGCUUGAGCACUGUAGAGGCAGAUGGAAUUCCGGGUGUAGCGGUGGAAUGCGUAGAGAUCCGGAAGAACACCGGUGGCGAAGGCGGUCUGCUGGGCAGUUGCUGACACUGAGGCGCGACAGCGUGGGGAGCAAACAGGAUUAGAUACCCGCGUAGUCC
rnacentral:rRNA from 1 species